rnacentral:tRNA from 1 species
GCCACGGUAGCUCAGCUAGGUAGAGCGACGGGCCGUUAACCCGUGGGUCGGAGGUUCGAUCCCUCCCUGUGGCG